CCUACGGGAUGCACCAGUGGGGAAUAUUGCACAAUGGGCGCAAGCCUGAUGCAGCCAUGCCGCGUGUGUGAAGAAGGCCUUCGGGUUGUAAAGCACUUUCAGCGAGGAGGAAGGUGGUGAACUUAAUACGUUUAUCAAUUGACGUUACUCGCAGAAGAAGCACCGGCUAACUCCGUGCCAGCAGCCGCGGUAAUACGGAGGGUGCAAGCGUUAAUCGGAAUUACUGGGCGUAAAGCGCACGCAGGCGGUUUGUUAAGUCAGAUGUGAAAUCCCCGGGCUCAACCUGGGAACUGCAUUUGAAACUGGCAAGCUAGAGUCUCGUAGAGGGGGGUAGAAUUCCAGGUGUAGCGGUGAAAUGCGUAGAGAUCUGGAGGAAUACCAGUGGCGAAGGCGGCCCCCUGGACAAAGACUGACGCUCAGAUGCGAAAGCGUGGGGAGCAAACAGGAUUAGAUACCCUCGUAGUC
rnacentral:rRNA from 1 species